UUCGGCGACCAUACUUUGUUCAAAAAAGCGGUUCUUGUUCGACCGCAUUAGUUAAGCAAUGUUGGACUCCGUCAGUAUUUGUAUGGGCGACCGGCUGGGAACGCCGUGUGUCGCCGACU
rnacentral:rRNA from 1 species